rnacentral:rRNA from 1 species
GAUGAACGCUGGCGGCGUGCCUAACACAUGCAAGUCGAACGAAGCACCUUUUGAGAUUCUUCGGAUGAUCGAUCGGUGACUGAGUGGCGGACGGGUGAGUAACGCGUGGGUAACCUGCCCUGUACAGGGGGAUAACAGCUGGAAACGGCUGCUAAUACCGCAUAAGCGCACGAGGAGACAUCUCCUAGUGUGAAAAACUCCGGUGGUACAGGAUGGGCCCGCGUCUGAUUAGCUGGUUGGCAGGGUAACG